GUGCUUCUCUAAACCUCUCUGUGAAAGCUGCUACCCCUAAAAACGUUCACCAUCGUAAGCAUAAGAAGCAAUUUAUUGAGCCUGAGCCAUACCAGAAAGGCUUCCCGCCCAAAAGACGCAACCAUUCCUUUGUUCCGGUUUCAUCUUACCCGGCCACUGUAUCUUAUGAUCCUAACACAGUUGCAGAGCAACUAAAGGCUACGGAAGACUUAGUUUCAUUGUAUUUGACGCCUGAGGACGAUUUCACACAGCCACCCCCAUGGAGCAGAAACGGAUGUCUACACAAGCCUAAGAAGGGAUCUAAGAAGAGAUCUAUUGAGCCUGAGCCAUACCAGAAAGGCUUCCCGCCCAAAAGACGCAACCAUUCCUUUGUUCCGGUCUCAUCUUACCCGGCCACUGUAUCUUAUGAUCCUAACACAGUUGCAGAGCAAGUAACGACGACCGAAGACUUAGAGUCCUUGCAUUUGUUGUCGUCUAAGUGUGAUUUCACACAUAGUACACCAAAGCCCUGCCACCCCACGAGUGACUCCAUUGAGAGGGGACAAAAGGACACCCCUUUACAAAAGACAUCUGAUGAGACAAUCCAUGCCGUAGAAGCCGGAGAAGGGUCUGAAGACACG